AAUGAACGCUGGCGGCGCGCCUAAUACAUGCAAGUCGAGCGAGAAGACGUAGCAAUACGUUUGUAAAGCGGCGAACGGGUGAGGAAUACAUGGGUAACCUACCCUCGAGUGGGGAAUAACUAGCCGAAAGGUUAGCUAAUACCGCGUACGCUCCUUGGACUUCGGUUCAGGGAGGAAAGCGAUACCGUGGGUAUCGCGCUCUUGGUUGGGCUCAUGUCCUAUCAGCUUGUUGGUGAGGAACGGCUCACCAAGGCUUCGACGGGUAGCUGGUCUGAGAGGACGAUCAGCCACACUGGCACUGCGACACGGGCCAGACUCCUACGGGAGGCAGCAGUAAGGAAUAUUGCGCAAUGGGCGAAAGCCUGACGCAGCGACGCCGCGUGGGGGAGUGGAGGUCUUCGGAUUGUAAACCCCUUUCGGGAGGGAAGAUGGAACGAGCAAUCGUUCGGACGGU
rnacentral:rRNA from 1 species